GCGGACAUGACGUGUGGCUGUCGUAAAAACCCUAUUUGUAAACAACCAGCCCUUUAACUCGGGGCUGCGUCAUAAACACGGCGCGCUUGGAAGACCACGAUGUCAUCUUCCUUCUGUCAGGAGGAUCCAAGUGAAGCUACAGGAGUUUCAUUAACGUCAACAACUUGGACCAAACAGUUUGUUUUGCUUGAUGAAGAGCAGGAAGGGCAGCCUGGAGAGAAAGAGAAGCCGGGUUGAGCCCACUACCAUCAUCCACGUACCACGAGGAAGAUGAGGGAGAGAAAUGAUCCUACCAUUAAAGAGACUGUGAAAAGAACGUUGAGAACAUCACCACUCUACAGGAAGACACAGUCCAGUAAUGGGUGUCAGAAGUUCAGUAGUGAACGACAGGCAGUACUGAUGCAUUUACUGAGAGGGGACGUGAGGGCCUACUCUGCGUGCUCAGAGUUCAAGCCCAGCAGGCUGCAGCGGGCCUGACAUAUUCUGGAACAGCAGCACAGUCUUUGGAUGACUCCUCUGAAGAUGAAAACAUGGCGAGUUCUUCUCAAGAGAAGCAGUACAGGUGUGCCUCAGCUCCACGGUCCCUCCUGCAGCCUCCGCUCCUGAUGCUAACCUCAUGUCUCCAUCACACCAAGCAGCAGACCUGGAUUGACAGACCUUUCUCCAGAGCUGCCCCCUCCCUCUGAAACCCCCCUCUCCAAAACACUAUUUGUGUAGUUUUUAAAGUAUUUUUUGCAUGAGAAUUGUUGAUCAUAACAUUUCCAGCAGAUGCCUUAAUAUAAUGUUUGUGCACAAUAAAUUACAUUGAUCAUAACAUAA